rnacentral:lncRNA from 1 species
GUCCUGAUGUCUUCAUUUCACAGUGGAAGAAAACAGCAAGCGGCUUAAGGUCACAGGACAGAGGCCGGAAGACGCGGCUCUAAACAACUCACCACUUCCCGGUUUGCCGCUAGAGGGAGCCAGAACCCCUGGAUUGCGUUACUUAUUCGCCUCUCGAGAUCUUCAGCUCCUGGAGGGUAGGAUCUGAUUUUGAUCCAGGUGAUGGAACUAAAACUCAGAAAGAUUAAGUAACCUCUGCAAGGUCGCAAAGAUAAUAGGUGGUGGAUCUAGAAUUAAAACCUGCCUGCCUGAUUUAUCCAAGGACGGCCUCUGCUGAGCCAGGUGGGGAAAGGCAGUGAUGCACAAGAAUGACGUCAUCCCUGCUCUCCUCUGUGCAGCGAUUU